CCUACGGGAGGCAGCAGUGGGGAAUAUUGCGCAAUGUGCGAAAGCCGGACGCAGCGACGCCGCGUGAGGGAUGAAGGUCUUCGGAUCGUAAACCUCUGUCAGCAGGGAAGAACGGUCACUGUGCUAAUCAGCAGUGAAUUGACGGUACCUGCAAAGGAAGCACCGGCUAACUCCGUGCCAGCAGCCGCGGUAAUACGGAGGGUGCGAGCGUUAAUCGGAAUUACUGGGCGUAAAGCGCUCGUAGGCGGUAUGUCACGUCAAGGGUGAAAUCCCCGCGCUCAACGUGGGAACUGCCUUUGAAACGUGCAACCUGGAGUGUGUGAGAGGAUAGUAGAAUUCCAGGUGUAGGAGUGAAAUCCGUAGAUAUCUGGAGGAACAUCAGUGGCGAAGGCGACUAUCUGGCACAUAACUGACGCUGAGGAGCGAAAGCGUGGGUAGCAAACAGGAUUAGAUACCCCUGUAGUC
rnacentral:rRNA from 1 species